rnacentral:ncRNA from 1 species
CCUGCGGCGCAUUAGCUAGUUGGUAGGGUAAAGGCCUACCAAGGCGACGAUGCGUAGCCGACCUGAGAGGGUGAACGGCCACACUGGGACUGAGACACGGCCCAGACUCCUACGGGAGGCAGCAGUAGGGAAUCUUCGGCAAUGGGCGAAAGCCUGACCGAGCAACGCCGCGUGAAUGAUGAAGGCCUUCGGGUUGUAAAAUUCUGUUAUAAGGGAAGAAUGGCUCUAGUAGGAAAUGGCUAGAGUGUGACGGUACCUUAUGAGAAAGCCACGGCUAACUACGUGCCAGCAGCCGCGGUAAUACGUAGGUGGCGAGCGUUAUCCGGAAUUAUUGGGCGUAAAGAGCGCGCAGGUGGUUGAUUAAGUCUGAUGUGAAAGCCCACGGCUUAACCGUGGAGGGUCAUUGGAAACUGGUCAACUUGAGUGCAGAAGAGGGAAGUGGAAUUCCAUGUGUAGCGGUGAAAUGCGUAGAGAUAUGGAGGAACACCAGUGGCGAAGGCGGCUUCCUGGUCUGUAACUGACACUGAGGCGCGAAAGCGUGGGGAGCAAACAGGAUUAGAUACCCUGGUAGUCCACGCCGUAAACGAUGAGUGCUAAGUGUUGGGGGUCGAACCUCAGUGCUGAAGUUAACGCAUUAAGCACUCCGCCUGGGGAGUACGGUCGCAAGACUGAAACUCAAAGGAAUUGACGGGGACCC